rnacentral:snRNA from 1 species
AUAAAUUUUUUUCAAAUGAAAAAAAAUCUGUUCUUAUCAGUUUAAUAUCUGAUACGUCCCCUACCCGGGGACCAUAUAUUAAAUUGAUUUUUGGAACUGGGAGAUGGAAAAGGGGCUUGCUCCGUCCACUCCACGCAUCGACCUGGUAUUGCAGUACCUCCAGGACCGGUGCACCCCUC